rnacentral:misc_RNA from 1 species
GGUGCUGUGUUGCCAUGACGAAGGAAAUCACAGGGGCCUUUAUCACCGACCACUCUUCUUUGGUUCGCUGACCCACUAAGGCCAAGAAAUGUCAUUCGAGCCCUAUCUUUUGACUUUUCUGCAAAAUACAAAGUUUAUUGCGCUAUAUAUUGUUUAUGCUUGAGAUUCCAUAUUUAGUUUGGAAGUUGAGAUUCAUGUUUCUGCAUGUUGUUUUCUUUUGCUCUUCCAGACGAAAUACGAGAAAAUGCAGCACUAAUUUUUCCAGUUUCUGCUCCUCUGCUAGCUAUAAGAUUAGAACUUGUACUUGGACCUUCUAGUUGUG